UCCCUCUUAGCUCAGUUGGUAGAGCGCGUCACUAGUAUUGCAAAAGCCACAUUUUGUGCUAUGACGAGGUCAGUCGUUCAAAUCGGCUAGCGGGAA